rnacentral:rRNA from 1 species
AACGAACGCUGGCGGCGCGCCUAAUACAUGCAAGUCGAGCGAGAAGACGUAGCAAUACGUUUGUAAAGCGGCGAACGGGUGAGGAAUACAUGGGUAACCUACCCUCGAGUGGGGAAUAACUAGCCGAAAGGUUAGCUAAUACCGCGUACGCUCCUUGGACUUCGGUUCAGGGAGGAAAGCGAUACCGCGGGUAUCGCGCUCUUGGAUGGGCUCAUGUCCUAUCAGCUUGUUGGUGAGGUAACGGCUCACCAAGGCUUCGACGGGUAGCUGGUCUGAGAGGACGAUCAGCCACACUGGCACUGCGACACGGGCCAGACUCCUACGGGAGGCAGCAGUAAGGAAUAUUGCGCAAUGGGCGAAAGCCUGACGCAGCGACGCCGCGUGGGGGAUGAAGGUCUUCGGAUUGUAAACCCCUUUCGGGAGGGAAGAUGGAACGAGCAAUCGUUCGGACGGUACC